rnacentral:rRNA from 1 species
AUUGAACGCUGGCGGCAUGCCUUACACAUGCAAGUCGAACGGCAGCACGGGAGCAAUCCUGGUGGCGAGUGGCGAACGGGUGAGUAAUACAUCGGAACGUGCCCUGUAGUGGGGGAUAACUAGUCGAAAGAUUAGCUAAUACCGCAUACGACCUGAGGGUGAAAGUGGGGGACCGCAAGGCCUCAUGCUAUAGGAGCGGCCGAUGUCUGAUUAGCUAGUUGGUGGGGUAAAGGCCUACCAAGGCGACGAUCAGUAGCUGGUCUGAGAGGACGAUCAGCCACACUGGGACUGAGACACGGCCCAGACUCCUACGGGAGGCAGCAGUGGGGAAUUUUGGACAAUGGGCGAAAGCCUGAUCCAGCAAUGCCGCGUGUGGGAAGAAGGCCUUCGGGUUGUAAAGCACUUUUGUCCGGAAAGAAAUGGCUCUGGUUAAUACCUGGGGUCGAUGACGGUACCGGAAGAAUAAGGACCGGCUAACUACGUGCCAGCCGCCGCGGUAA